rnacentral:sRNA from 1 species
AGAGAACAUUUAUUAAAUAUUUAGCAACAUACUAUUGAUUAUAGAAGAGUGCCUAGGAGUGCAUGGAUGGAAGCAGUGAGCCAGUUAAGAGCCUACUGUAAUAAUCUAAUCAAGGGGUAAUGGUGAGAAGUCAAGGGAGGAAGACUUCCAAGUUUCCAGAUGGGUAGAUCUUCAUUUACUGAGAAGCAGAGUACAGGAAGUGGGGAUGCUGCACUUAAAAGGAUGCUUGUUUUGAUGUCCUGCUCAUUGUUUUCCCUAUGAAGUAUCAGUAAUCCAUCCUAGAGGUGGUGUUCUUUUUAAGAAUUUGAGAAGGAAAACGUAGUUCCCAGCUACUUUUAUAUAAUGAUUACAAGAUAAAGAACAAAAUUUAACAAGAAGAAUUAGUACCUCAGAUAUUCUGUCUGAAAAGAAACUUGGUGAAGAUGAAGAGGAACUAUCUGAAUUACAGCUUCGCCUUUUGGCUCUUCAGUCAGCCAGUAAAAAAUGGCAACAAAAAGAACAGCAGGUGAUGAAAGAAAGCAAAGAAAAGUUGACUAAGACGAAAACUGUACAGCAAAAAGUUAAAACAAGU